UCUGUUUCAUACUUCUCAUAGUUGAUAAGUAGCUUAUUCAUUUUUUCUUCAGUGAUUCAAUUCAGUAAGAUAUCAUCAUUUACAAAUUGAAAGGAUUAGAUUUACAUGUACUAAAACACAUGAAUUCAACAGGUCAGUUCAUCUCGAUACUUCAAAACUCCUAAGAACUUCACAAAUCCAGUGUGUGGGUCUUCCAGUGAGUUGGAGAGGAUUGAGGAACCAUGGCACAGUUUGGAACCUUGAUAUGGACUAUAACUAUUAUAUUGGUGCAUGUAAGCAUUGGAUCCUGUAUUGCAUGUGGUAGAGCUGAGUACAGAAUAGGUGAUGAAUGUUGUCCCAUGUGUUCACCAGGUAAGGACCCUCUUUACAUCAUAUGAAUCACCAGACGUUAAUACAUCAUCAACACUAACAGAAAAACAUGACAUUGUGAUUMUCUCUUCMCCAGGAAAUCAUGUACAUAAGCAUUGUACUGAAYUYACCAGCACCAGCUGUGUGCCCUGUGUUGAUUCUACAUUCCUUGAUGAGCCCAAUGGUCUCAUGAAAUGCAAAGUGUGUACCAACUGUGAUCCAGGUUUGGGUUUGAWGGUAAAGCAGCCAUGUASACCUUCAUCAGACACUGUCUGUGGGACACUGGAGGGGUUCUACUGUCUAGACCCAACUAAGGAUGGUUGUAGAGCAGCCCAGAGACACAGCAGCUGUAAACCUGGUCAAUACAUCAGCCACACAGGAACAACAUCUACAGAUACUGUGUGUUCUGACUGUACUGGUGACACCUAUUCAGAUGGAUCAUUAACAUCCUGCCGACCACACACAGAGUGUAAAUCCUUCGGUCUUCAAGAACUUAGACCAGGAACUAAUUUGUCCAAUUCUGAAUGUGGACCACAAUCCUCACAAAUAGAACCUGGAAUCAUCAUUGGUGUUGUUCUGGCAUCAGUCCCAAUAGCUCUUGCAAUAACAAUAAUAAUAAUAAKARGAWUUGUAAUUCUAWGGAGGAGAAAAAGUCCAACAMCAGUGACUUUUUCUCCAGUGACAGUAAAUGCUGUAGAGGUAUGUUGAUAUAAUCUACAUGUUGAACAGUCACUGUGCUAAGGUUAGCUGAGCAGAUGUUAUUAYUGCUCUACUUACUCUGGGGCUGAACUAGAAAUGUUUUAUUGAGUAAUAUGUUUCCUUCUAUUAGGCAUCRUCAGAUUUAGAGGAAACACCAAGCAAUSUAGUACAAUGAAACAGAAGAAAGUACAGCAUCUUGCAGGUGUUAGUUUUGUAGAUGAUUCAAGCUCUGACUGCACUCAUCAUUACAAAUGCUACCUGAGAAUGAGGAGACCAAGGAGCGGCUCUCACUUAUGACUCCACUGAUGAAGAAACAAAGCCGCUUGAUGACAUUGGAUCCUCCUCAAGAGGUCAAAGGGCAGACUAACCUCUCAGGCAGUAACAUCCCAGUCUGCUUCAGUGGCCCAGAAAUCAGGAGCAAACCCAGACUCAGAGAUGGAUAGUGAUGAUUCACUCACCCCCUGCCUUGUCAGCUCACCAGGAAUGAGGCAAGCCGCCUCGUUACCCCCGAGACUGUCUGGAGGCCUUCCUCUCCUCAGAGGACCCAGCGAGGGUGGAGCACAGUCUGAGAGCUGUUGAGUGAGAACACUUCUACAGCCAGAGAGUCAAGAAAUGGAACAGCAAAG